CCUACGGGAGGCAGCAGUGGGGAAUAUUGGGCAAUGGAGGAAACUCUGACCCAGCGACGCCGCGUGCGGGAUGAAGGCCUUCGGGUUGUAAACCGCUUUCAGUAGGGAAGAAGCGAAAGUGACGGUACCUACAGAAGAAGCACCGGCUAACUAUGUGCCAGCAGCCGCGGUAAUACAUAGGGUGCAAGCGUUGUCCGGAAUUAUUGGGCGUAAAGAGCUCGUAGGUGGUUCGUCACGUCGGAUGUGAAAAUCUGGGGCUCAACCCCAGACCUGCAUUCGAUACGGGCGAUCUAGAGUGUGGUAGGGGAGACUGGAAUUCCUGGUGUAGCGGUGGAAUGCGCAGAUAUCAGGAGGAACACCAAUGGCGAAGGCAGGUCUCUGGGCCAUUACUGACACUGAGGAGCGAAAGCGUGGGGAGCGAACAGGAUUAGAUACCCUGGUAGUCCACGCCGUAAACGGUGGGCACUAGUUGUGGGAACCUUCCACGGUUUCUGCGACGCNGCUACGCAUAGUAGCCCGCCGUCGGGAGGUACGAGUCGCGAGAAGUUAAACGUAACUAAAUAGUAAGUUAGUUACGGUCGUUGAGAGUUGCCGACGGACGACGACGAGGGAGGAGG
rnacentral:rRNA from 1 species